GUGUCAGCCGCCGCGGUAAUACGUAGGUGGCAAGCGUUGUCCGGAAUCAUUGGGCGUAAAGCGCGCGCAGGCGGUCCUUUAAGUCUGAUGUGAAAUCUUGCGGCUCAACCGUAAGCGGUCAUUGGAAACUGGGGGACUUGAGUGCAGGAGAGGAAAGCUGAAUUCCAUGUGUAGCGGUGAAAUGCGUAGAGAUAUGGAGGAACACCAGUGGCGAAGGCGGCUUUCUGGCCUGUAACUGACGCUGAGGCGCGAAAGCGUGGGGAGCAAACAGGAUUAGAAACCCCCGUAGUCC
rnacentral:rRNA from 1 species